rnacentral:tRNA from 2 species
ACCAGGAUGGCCGAGUGGUUAAGGUGUUGGACUUAAGUUCCAAUGUACGAAUGUACGCGUGGGUUCGAACCCCACUCCUGGUA